CGAGAGGUAACUUAUAACAAAGGCCGAGGCCCAAAUUCAAAUAAACGGUCCAAAGCCCCAAAUACACACAAACGGACGGUUUGCCCUAGAGGUCCACCAAGGAGACAGGCCGGACACGUGUAAACAUCUGGAGAGUCUGCACGCCACGCGUCGUCCGUCUCAACUCGAUCUCCGCCUCUUCGCACAACCGCCGAAACCAGCCACCGACAACCACUUUUCACCGGAGCUCCGAUACUGCAGAGCCUCCGCGUCACCAUGACUCUUCACGGCCGCUCUGUCUUCACGCCGGAGAGAUCGUCGUUCUAACGAGGUCUCCCCCGGCUCUGAACCACCAGAAACCCUAGAUAGGCGCGCCGCGAACCACCGCUAUCUUGGCUUAACUAUCCUCACCGUCGCUGGAAUUCUCUUCCUCAACGACCCACAAACUCAAACUCGAACUACACGACACCCACCAAACUUUAAAUACCUCUAACCCAGUAACCUCACCCCAAAAUUAGGGUUUCAACACGGCGGCGAGGAUCUUUGAGAGCCUCCUCACUCCGUCAUUCAUAAGCCGGCAAAGAAGGAGCUGAAGAAGCCUCCCUUUCCGGAAGCUAGAGCGGCGACGGUGGAUCUGAGAUAGCCUCCACCCCCCGCGAACCGACCGGCGUCGAUGAAUCUAGAGAAGCCUCCAUCGNNNNNNNNNNNNNNNNNNNNNNNNNNNNNNNNNNNNNNNNAUUCGACCAGCGUCGAUGAAUCUAGAGAAGCCUCCAUCGCCCGGAGAAACACAACCCGAACCGACAAGAAAUUCGCCUCCCCCGAGGCUCUCCAAACGAGCGCGUCUUCACUCCAAAAUCCGACCACCGAGAAGGUAAGUUACGGUAUCAGAGCUCCGACAAGGCGUCCGUUGAUGGCACUUCGGAAACAAGAUGGAGGAAAACUAAAUUGCUGAAGCAGGAGUGCUUCCGGCGACGGCACGGACGCUCACGCGCCGGCCGUACGCCGGAGAAAGUCUCUUCUCUCUUCUCUCUCUUCUUU
rnacentral:lncRNA from 1 species